CAUGUCAUUCUAAUGCUACGUGCAACAACACAGAUGGAUCUUAUAUUUGCACAUGUAAUACUGGAUACACUGGAGAUGGGUUUAAUUGCACAGAUGUUGACGAAUGCGUAAUAUCUCCCCCAUGUCAUUCCAAUGCUACGUGCAAUGACACAGAUGGAUCAUAUAUUUGUACCUGUUAUUCUGGAUAUACAGGAGACGGGUUCAACUGCUCAGAUGUUGACGAAUGCGUAGUAUCUCCCCCAUGUCAUU
rnacentral:lncRNA from 1 species